UACGUAGGGUGCAAGCGUUAAUCGGAAUUACUGGGCGUAAAGCGUGCGCAGGCGGUUUUGUAAGUCUGUCGUGAAAUCCCCGGGCUCAACCUGGGAAUUGCGAUGGAGACUGCAAGGCUAGAAUCUGGCAGAGGGGGGUAGAAUUCCACGUGUAGCAGUGAAAUGUGUAGAUAUUCGGAAGAACACCAGUGGCGAAGGCAGCAUAUUGGCGCUCGAUUGACGCUCAGGCACGAAAGCAUGGGGAUCAAACAGG
rnacentral:rRNA from 1 species